CUGCUGCCUUCCGUAGGAGUUUGGGCCGUGUCUCAGUCCCAAUGUGGCCGUCCACCCUCUCAGGCCGGCUACUGAUCGUCGCUUUGGUAGGCCGUUACCCUGCCAACUGGCUAAUCAGACGCGGGUCCAUCGCAUACCACCUCGGUUUUUCACACUGGAUCAUGCGGUCCCGUGCGCUUAUGCGGUAUUAGCACCUGUUUCCAGGUGUUAUCCCCCGGUAUACGGCAGGUUACCCACGCGUUACUCACCCGUCCGCCACUAAA
rnacentral:rRNA from 1 species